rnacentral:tRNA from 1 species
UUUUAUAUAGUUUAAGUAAAACAUUAUAUUUUCAUUAUAAAAAAAAAGAGCCAAUUCUUUUAUAAAAU